rnacentral:rRNA from 1 species
GACAACUAGGAUGUUGGCUUAGAAGCAGCCAUCAUUUAAAGAGUGCGUAAUAGCUCACUAGUCGAGUGACACUGCGCCGAAAAUGUACCGGGGCUAAACAUAUUACCGAAGCUGUGGAUUGUCCUUUGGACAAUGGUAGGAGAGCGUUCUAAGGGCGUUGAAGCAUGAUCGUAAGGACAUGUGGAGCGCUUAGAAGUGAGAAUGCCGGUGUGAGUAGCGAAAGACGGGUGAGAAUCCCGUCCACCGAUUGACUAAGGUUUCCAGAGGAAGGCUCGUCCGCUCUGGGUUAGUCGGGUCCUAAGCUGAGGCCGACAGGCGUAGGCGAUGGAUAACAGGUUGAUAUUCCUGUACCACCUAUAAUCGUUUUAAUCGAUGGGGGGACGCAGUAGGAUAGGCGAAGCGUGCGAUUGGAUUGCACGUCUAAGCAGUAAGGCUGAGUAUUAGG